CCUACGGGGGGCAGCAGUGGGGAAUAUUGGACAAUGGCGGGAACCCUGAUCCAGCCAUGCCGCGUGUGUGAAGAAGGCCCUCGGGUUGUAAAGCACUUUCAGUGAGGAAGAACGCCUGGUGGUUAAUACCCAUCAGGAAAGACAUCACUCACAGAAGAAGCACCGGCUAACUCCGUGCCAGCAGCCGCGGUAAUACGGAGGGUGCGAGCGUUAAUCGGAAUUACUGGGCGUAAAGCGCGCGUAGGUGGCUUGAUAAGCCGGUUGUGAAAGCCCCGGGCUCAACCUGGGAACGGCAUCCGGAACUGUCAAGCUAGAGUGCAGGAGAGGAAGGUAGAAUUCCCGGUGUAGCGGUGAAAUGCGUAGAGAUCGGGAGGAAUACCAGUGGCGAAGGCGGCCUUCUGGACUGACACUGACACUGAGGUGCGAAAGCGUGGGUAGCAAACAGGAUUAGAUACCCCGGUAGUC
rnacentral:rRNA from 1 species